AUUGAUUCUCUUGAAUGAAAGACUAUGCUUGGUGUUACGACUCAAAGUACUCAAUUUCAUGAAUAGCUUAAAAUCACGGUGAAUGACUCUUGGAUAUUUCAACUAGUAAGACUUCCUUGAACAAGGACUACUUGGAGUGGUAUCAUUCAGUAAGGGAUUUAGCACGUGUCAAGAAGCUUCAUUCUAUUUAUAUAUGUAAACAAUUUUCUGGAUGGCUUACAAGGUGAAGGCGAGGUCCUGUCUCAGUCAAGCUAAAUGAAAAAGAUCUAUUCUUUUAAACGUGCACAUCCACUCUGUAUGCUUCUCUUGAAUGGUGGAAAUUUAAGCAAGAAGCAAUGCAGGGAAACGGAGAGGUGGAUUGGCCGCUGAUAUUUGUGUCCUCACCAGUGAGGAUUGCCCAAAGAUUUGUAAAUACUGGAAAUUCAUCAGUGUCCUAUCUUACCAAAAAGAUGCAAAAGGAAGUAGGAUUUCCAUAGAUUUUGUUACAUCCUAGAGUUAGAAGGGUAUCCAUUUCAGUGGUAAGAAAACCUAUGUCUAAAUCACUGUUUUUUCCCUGUCCUUGAUAGAAAUCAAAAUCCAAAUUUCUUCUUUGUUCUCUCCAAGAAAUGGAGCUUAAUGAAAACUUUUUGGUUUCAACAAUGGUGUUAGUAUUUUUGUUUUCUACAACUCAAAAAAAUCUGUGAAUUUUCCUUUUAUCAAUUUCUUAUUUAUAUCAUGGUAUCUGAAACUGAGUUGGUUAGGUGGCGUAGCUGGAUGCCAUGGUUUCUCACAGUGUAAUUUGUAAAUGGUGUCAAAAUUGGCACUUGGUGAUAUAGUGGUAAUGUUUGUGGGGAGGAGUAAAUCUAGCGUAUACAUCUACAGUACAGAAAUUAGCUCAUUGUGCAGUAUUUGUGUUUAUUCCUUUUUCAUGUUGUGCAUUAGCUACAAUUGAUGAUGACAACCACAACAAAAAUUCACAAAAUUCAGGUUAUGUUGCGAAGAACUAUUUUGUCAAUAACAGUAUAAUUUUUGCAUUUCCUCCUUAUUUUGUUUAGUAUCUUGCUGUUAAUUGAAAAGAAAGGUGCUACACUUGGUGUUUUAGAAGUUCACAAUUUUAGGGGUGGAUUUCACCUGGUGCUGCACUAGGAGUUGAUUUCACUUUUUAAAAUGAAUCAGUCACCCUUAAUUAAAAGGAAAUUGUUCCUAUAUUUUAUUGAAAAAAAUAAAAGUUCCAUAUUUUUCUAUCUAUAUAAAUUUUUAGAUUACAAGUUGCCUUGGGUUAAGAUCAUAAGCUGAUGUUAAUGCUCAAAUUGGUACCCAAACAAAGGGACUAUUAUUUUUCCUGAUGGUUACAUUUUAGUUAUUGUAUACUCCUGCUGGUUAGAUGUUAUGAAGGUAAUAAAAUACAAGUGUUUAGUUCACAAAAUAGAAAUAGUGUUUUAUUUUACCUCGCUUUUAUUAUGGUGACAGGAACAGUUAGGGGAGGAACAGUUUUCUUUUUGGAUAUGCUUCAUAAUACUCAUUAUUGUUUAUUACAAAACUAGAUAUCCAGUAUGUGUUGAUUACUGUUGUUGUCAAUACAGACUUAAUAUCAACUAUUCUUUCUAUAAGCAUUAGCAUCAGAACCAGAUGCAUCAUUUCAUUGUGUAGCUGCAGAGUUUGGUCGUGCUGAUUUAUGUAGGCAGCUUUCCAUAACAAUUUCUGCCAUCUCUUAAAUUUGUGACACUUGAUUUAGAAAAGAAUUCAAAUAAUUUGAAUAAAGGGGCUAGUGACCUCAUUAAAUUUUUGAAAGCAAGACCCUUGCAUUAAAAUAUGAUCUGUGAAAGGUAAGUUUGAUUUUCUUUGAAAGAAUUAGCCAUGGAGGUAAGUCACAUACAGUAUCAUAAAUUCCUAACCUUCCCCUCUAGAUUCCUUUUUGUCAUUUGACUCUUCCUUCACCUCUUCACGACCUGAUUCUAACUGAAUUUUCAUAGUAUUGGCUUAGUUUAGCUGUACCUAUUAAGGUGGAUGGGCAACUGGGUUUUUCCCAUUUCUUUUGUUGGGGUGAGAUGAGGGGUUGGAAGGAGGGAGAAAGAAAAAAAAUAUUUUCUGGUAGAGAAUACAAAAAUCCCAUUGAAUUCUUUCUUGCGAAGAAGUUUGCAGUGAAAGUGGAUACCUGUUCUUGAUGGUUAGAUUGCCUUGUUGAGCGCUCGAUAAUCAAUGCACAACGCUAUCGUUUCUUCUGGAAUAAAUAAAACAGGGGCUUCCCAACCUUUCCCCCAGCAAGAUAGGGAAAAACUGCCUUGGAGGCUGGAAUAUAAAUAGGCUCCAAUGAGUUCCUGAAAUUUUUUCCUGCCUUGAAAUGAGGAAUUUAAUUCCAUAAAUACCAGUCUAGCUCUAUCUUAAUUUUUCCCUUUCAUUAGGUACGGUGAGUUUAUCGGUUACUGGAUUUUAGAAGAAGCCUGAGCAGUGUUGAUACUAAAGCCAACAAGUUUAAGAGUGCAUGUUUCUUCAAACGUAGCUGGCAAUAUGAUUAUGCAGAAAACUAUUAGAAAAAGGAAUGAGCUUUGGUAGGUUCUAAUGAAUGAAGAUCAUAGCUUGUUGUUGGAGAAGAUUGCAGAGUACUCCCUAAUGUCAUAGAUAGCUUAAUUUUGUGAGGUCCAGAUAUGAUGCAUAUAUGUCGAUGAGAAAGCUAUCUGAUCUUGCUCUAAUAGCAAAGUGGUAGAUACAAUUUACUAAAGAAAAUAAGAAAUUAGCAUUAUCAUGAUCCAUGUUCAACUGACUAGCUGAUUUGCAAGGAAGAUAUGUGAUUUUCCAGUGAGAUGGCUCCUAAGACUUUCCAUGAACAACGAUUGCUUGUGAGUGCAUUCCACUCAUUAGCAUGACAUUUGCUUUUAUCUUUGAAAUCGCCAUACAUUCUUAAGGAUGCUUGGAAUACAAAAUUAUAUAGUAGUGGACAAUCAAAGUUAUGACGCCUAUGACAUCACUUGAAUCCACCUCCUUCUUGUCUCAAUAACAGGAACUCAUUAAUUUUCUCAAGGUUAAAUGGGCUUUCAAUGAAAUGCUAAAUAAUCACAUCCUUAAUGACUUCAAGUUGUCUACUCUUGAACUAAAUCUUGCUGUCUCUAUGAGUGAACUACUGGUAUUGGCAGAGCUAUAGUUCCUUCUCUUUUUUAGACUUUGUUGAUUAUCUACAUUUUAGAUUGUAAUACUUUAGAGGGUUUCUGUGGCUACUGCUUGUACGGGUAGAGGUCCACUCUUUUUUAUAAAUUUUUUAUUAAUCCCAAAAAAAAAAAAAAGAUUGCUAAAUAAUGAUAGCUAUAAAGAAUAAAAAAAAAAUGGGACAACAAAUGAGCACUCCUCCAAUUGUUUGGGUCCAAAAGUAAAAUUAUGAAUACAUUAUUGUUACUAAUUGGACCUCCUCUCUUCAUGUUUCUUAUAUUAAUUUUACAAUGAUGUUCACUUUCUUGGUAGUGGUUCUUGUAUCGGUGAGUAUUGGAAUUAAGCACAUGUUCCAGAAGUUUCAUUCUAUGAAUCAAGUUAUAUAUAUCAACUCUUUUCUGGACAGAAAUUUGCAUUCAUGCUGAAGUAGGUCAGAUAAAAUUUCUGCACAAAUGACUACAGGAUUUCCCACAACAAUAUUCUAUGGUAGCAGCUUUUCAUAACCCAUGGAAAAAAAAGGCUUCUGAGUUCCUAUUGUCUCAACUGAUUAACAAGUGGAUUAGAGAGGUUUUUCUUUAGCACCAAGGAGUUUUCCACUGAUCAGGAUAUCUGUGUGUUGUGUCUUAAAGAUUUUGGCUUAUAGUUACCAUAAAUUUUAUUGGUCCUCCUCAGUGAUUAGGUGACGAGCAAUAACUAUCAUGUCAUAGCAUUGUGAAGUCCACCACCUUGGAGGACUUGUGCUUUUAUGCAGCAGAGUGGAAAAUAAGGACUUCUGUGUCCAGCAAAAGUUUAGGUAUCAUGUUGAAGUAGGUAUCAAGUUGAUAGCUUGUUGAUGAUGCAACCAGUUGCUUGGUAGAUAAACCAAGAAGAGAAUGACGAACUAGGUGAUGAAUGAAGCAAUUGAAGGCAUUCUUGUUUGUUCUAUGUAGUUGAAGACUCAAUAACAACCGACUAGAAGAGGUACCCUGAACUCCUUGUUAGAGACGGUGGCUAAUAUUCUAAAUAAGUGUGUGAGCACAAUGAUUUCAAUGUAAUGGGUUAGGGUUUUUAAUAGAGGUUAUAUCAAUAUGUUGUGAAUCAUAUUUUCAUAUUGUAACCAUUAGCCACUCGCUUGCAUGGAUGUAGGCACAUUGCUGAACAAUGUAAAUCUUUGCAUUGUUUCUCUUCCUUUUUCUCUCUA